rnacentral:rRNA from 1 species
UACGAAGGGUGCAAGCGUUAAUCGGAAUGACUGGGCGUAAAGGGCGCGCAGGCGGCUCAUUUUGUCAGGCGUGAAAGCCCCGGGCUUAACCUGGGAGGUGCGUUUGAUACGGAUGGGCUAGAGUUCGGGAGAGGAGAGUGGAAUUCCCAGUGUAGAGGUGAAAUUCGUAGAUAUUGGGAAGAACACCGGUGGCGAAGGCGGCUCUCUGGACCGAGACUGACGCUGAGGCGCGAAAGCGUGGGGAGCAAACAGG